CAUCUUCUUGUUUUUAAAAGACCUAGCAAUAGGUAUGCUUAGGGAGGAGCUUGCGUCACAUUAGUUAGUUGGUGGGGUAAAGGCCUACCAAGACUAUGAUGUGUAGCCGGGCUGAGAGGUUGAACGGCCACAUUGGGACUGAGACACGGCCCAAACUCCUACGGGAGGCAGCAGUAGGGAAUUUUCGGCAAUGGAGGAAACUCUGACCGAGCAACGCCGCGUGAACGAUGAAGUAUUUCGGUACGUAAAGUUCUUUUAUUAGGGAAGAAUAAAUGAUGGAAAAAUCAUUCUGACGGUACCUAAUGAAUAAGCCCCGGCUAACUAUGUGCCAGCAGCCGCGGUAAUACAUAGGGGGCAAGCGUUAUCCGGAAUUAUUGGGCGUAAAGGGUGCGUAGGCGGUUAAAUAAGUUUAUGGUCUAAGUGCAAUGCUCAACAUUGUGAUGCUAUAAAAACUGUUUAGCUAGAGUAAGAUAGAGGCAAGUGGAAUUCCAUGUGUAGUGGUAAAAUGCGUAAAUAUAUGGAGGAACACCAGUAGCGAAGGCGGCUUGCUGGGUCUUUACUGACGCUGAGGCACGAAAGCGUGGGGAGCAAACAGGAUUAGAUACCCUGGUAGUCCACGCCGUAAACGAUGAGUACUAAACGUUGGGUAAAACCAGUGUUGAAGUUAACACAUUAAGUACUCCGCCUGAGUAGUACGUACGCAAGUAUGAAACUUAAAGGAAUUGACGGGACUCCGCACAAGCGGUGGAUCAUGUUGUUUAAUUCGAAGGUACCCGAAAAACCUCACCAGGUCUUGACAUGCUUCUGCAAAGCUGUAGAAACACAGUGGAGGUUAUCAGUUGCACAGGUGGUGCAUGGUUGUCGUCAGCUCGUGUCGUGAGAUGUUGGGUUAAGUCCCGCAACGAGCGCAACCCUUAUUGUUAGUUACCAGCACGUAAUGGUGGGGACUUUAGCAAGACUGCCAGUGAUAAAUUGGAGGAAGGUGGGGACGACGUCAAAUCAUCAUGCCCCUUAUGACCUGGGCUACAAACGUGAUACAAUGGCUGUUACAAAGGGUAGCUGAAGCGCAAGUUUUUGGCAAAUCUCAAAAAAACAGUCUCAGUUCGGAUUGAAGUCUGCAACUCGACUUCAUGAAGUUGGAAUCGCUAGUAAUCGCGAAUCAGCAUG
rnacentral:rRNA from 2 species